AUGCAGUCGAGCGGUAGAGAGGUGCUUGCACCUCUUGAGAGCGGCGGACGGGUGAGUAAAGCCUAGGAAUCUGCCUGGUAGUGGGGGAUAACGCUCGGAAACGGACGCUAAUACCGCAUACGUCCUACGGGAGAAAGCAGGGGACCUUCGGGCCUUGCGCUAUCAGAUGAGCCUAGGUCGGAUUAGCUAGUUGGUGAGGUAAUGGCUCACCAAGGCGACGAUCCGUAACUGGUCUGAGAGGAUGAUCAGUCACACUGGAACUGAGACACGGUCCAGACUCCUACGGGAGGCAGCAGUGGGGAAUAUUGGACAAUGGGCGAAAGCCUGAUCCAGCCAUGCCGCGUGUGUGAAGAAGGUCUUCGGAUUGUAAAGCACUUUAAGUUGGGAGGAAGGGCAUUAACCUAAUACGUCAGUGUUUUGACGUUACCGACAGAAUAAGCACCGGCUAACUCUGUGCCAGCAGCCGCGGUAAUACAGAGGGUGCAAGCGUUAAUCGGAAUUACUGGGCGUAAAGCGCGCGUAGGUGGUUCGUUAAGUUGGAUGUGAAAUCCCCGGGCUCAACCUGGGGACUGCAUUCAAAACUGUCGAGCUAGAGUAUGGUAGAGGGUGGUGGAAUUUCCUGUGUAGC
rnacentral:rRNA from 1 species